rnacentral:rRNA from 1 species
ACACGCAGUCGAACGAAGGCUUCGGCCUUAGUGGCGCACGGGUGCGUAACGCGUGGGAAUCUGCCCCUUGGUUCGGAAUAACAGUUGGAAACGACUGCUAAUACCGGAUGAUGACGUAAGUCCAAAGAUUUAUCGCCGAGGGAUGAGCCCGCGUAGGAUUAGGUAGUUGGUGUGGUAAAGGCGCACCAAGCCGACGAUCCUUAGCUGGUCUGAGAGGAUGAUCAGCCACACUGGGACUGAGACACGGCCCAGACUCCUACGGGAGGCAGCAGUGGGGAAUAUUGGACAAUGGGCGAAAGCCUGAUCCAGCAAUGCCGCGUGAGUGAUGAAGGCCUUAGGGUUGUAAAGCUCUUUUACCCGGGAUGAUAAUGACAGUACCGGGAGAAUAAGCUCCGGCUAACUCCGUGCCAGCAGCCGCGGUAAUACGGAGGGAGCUAGCGUUAUUCGGAAUUACUGGGCGUAAAGCGCACGUAGGCGGCUUUGUAAGUAAGAGGUGAAAGCCCAGAGCUCAACUCUGGAAUUGCCUUUUAGACUGCAUCGCUUGAAUCAUG